rnacentral:tRNA from 1 species
AAUAAGAUGCCUGAAUAAAGGGCUAUCUUGAUAGGAUAGAUUAUGUAAAUUUUACUCUUAUUA